AGAGUUUGAUCCUGGCUCAGGACGAACGCUGGCGGCGCGCCUAACACAUGCAAGUCGAACGGAGCUUAGAGAGCUUGCUUUUUAAGCUUAGUGGCGAACGGGUGAGUAACGCGUGAGUAACCUGCCCUAGAGUGCGGGACAACAGUUGGAAACGACUGCUAAUACCGCAUAAGCCCACGGUACCGCAUGGUACUGAGGGAAAAGGAUUUAUUCGCUUUAGGAUGGACUCGCGUCCAAUUAGCUAGUUGGUGAGGUAACGGCCCACCAAGGCGACGAUUGGUAGCCGGACUGAGAGGUUGAACGGCCACAUUGGGACUGAGACACGGCCCAGACUCCUACGGGAGGCAGCAGUGGGGGAUAUUGCACAAUGGGGGAAACCCUGAUGCAGCGACGCCGCGUGGAGGAAGAAGGUUUUCGGAUUGUAAACUCCUGUCGUUAGGGACGAUAAUGACGGUACCUAACAAGAAAGCACCGGCUAACUACGUGCCAGCAGCCGCGGUAAAACGUAGGGUGCAAGCGUUGUCCGGAAUUACUGGGUGUAAAGGGAGCGCAGGCGGGAAGACAAGUUGGAAGUGAAAACCAUGGGCUCAACCCAUGAAUUGCUUUCAAAACUGUUUUUCUUGAGUAGUGCAGAGGUAGAGGGAAUUCCCGGUGUAGCGGUGGAAUGCGUAGAUAUCGGGAGGAACACCAGUGGCGAAGGCGGUCUACUGGGCACCAACUGACGCUGAGGCUCGAAAGCAUGGGUAGCAAACAGGAUUAGAUACCCUGGUAGUCCAUGCCGCAAACGAUGAUACUAGGUGUUUGGGGGGAUUGACCCCCUCAGUGCCGCAGUUAACACAAUAAGUAAUCCACCUGGGGAGUACGACCGCAAGGUUGAACUCAAAGGAAUUGACGGGGGCCCGCCAAGCAGUGGAGUAUGUGGCUUAAUUCGAAGCAACGCGAAGAACCUUACCAGGGUUGACUAAUGGGUGAAACGGGGGAAACCCCGUGGCCAAAAGAGCCCAUACAGGUGGGGCAUGGUUGCCUCACUCCUGGCCGGAAAAUUUGGGUAAAUCCCGAAAAAGGGAACCCCCCCCCGUGUUGCCUCCGGUGGAUCCGGGAACCACCCGGGACCGCCCUCUCAAGGGGGAGAGAGGGGGGGACGACGUCAAGUCAUCAUGCCCCUUAUGCCCUGGGCUGCACACGUGCUACAAUGGCCGGUACAGAGGGAUGCCACCCCGCGAGGGGGAGCGGAUCCCGGAAAGCCGGCCCCAGUUCGGAUUGGGGGCUGCAACCCGCCCCCAUGAAGUCGGAGUUGCUAGUAAUCGCGGAUCAGCAUGCCGCGGUGAAUGCGUUCCCGGGCCUUGUACACACCGCCCGUC
rnacentral:rRNA from 1 species